CAGACGCCUCAGCGGAUCACAGGCCAGAAUAAGGAAGGGGCCGGCAGUAUCCGAGGGGGCCUUGAGUGAGGCCGACACAUGUGUACAAACACACCAGCUCCUCUCGGUGGCCAAAAAGGGUCCAAGUGUUGUCUCAGCCAUCGCAUGCAGACACAGAAACUGCUCGUAAAAUAUAAUUUCACUAGAAGAUGAUCCCUUAUCAGGCGUGCGGCAAGAAUUACCAUCCCGGUGUCACAGAGGAGGAAACUGGCCUGGGAGUCACCAGGAGCUUGUCCAGUCCGCCAGAUGGUGGAGCUGAAACAUGCUCUCUCUUUGCCACGCUGUCUUGUUUUGCUGGUCUUACACCAUCUUCUCUUCCUGGAUCAUGGGAUUGUAACCCAGUGGAAAAUGCUGUCUGAGGUGAUUGUUUCAUAAAUGCUGCAAACCCACCUUUAUGAAGAUCUAAGGUAAUUCACUAAUAAACCUUGGAUCUCAGCCUGGAUCUGCAUGCAUUCAAGCAUUCUUGUAAAUGGAAACUAACAGGAGCAAGUCAGUUGGAGAGAUGCCGUGUAGCCUG
rnacentral:lncRNA from 1 species